rnacentral:rRNA from 1 species
AGCGAACGCUGGCGGCAGGCCUAACACAUGCAAGUCGAACGGCUCUCCGGAGCAGUGGCGGACGGGUGAGUAACGCGUGGGAACGUGCCCUUUGGUUCGGAACAACACAGGGAAACUUGUGCUAAUACCGGAUGAGCCCUUCGGGGGAAAGAUUUAUCGCCAUUGGAGCGGCCCGCGUUGGAUUAGGUAGUUGGUGGGGUAACGGCCCACCAAGCCGACGAUCCAUAGCUGGUCUGAGAGGAUGAUCAGCCACACUGGGACUGAGACACGGCCCAGACUCCUACGGGAGGCAGCAGUGGGGAAUCUUGCGCAAUGGGCGAAAGCCUGACGCAGCCAUGCCGCGUGUAUGAUGAAGGUCUUAGGAUUGUAAAAUACUUUCACCGGGGAAGAUAAUGACGGUACCCGGAGAAGAAGCCCCGGCUAACUUCGUGCCAGCAGCCGCCGCCGUAA